GAUGAAGAACGUAGCGAAAUGCGAUAAGUAAUGUGAAUUGCAGAAUUCAGUGAAUCAUCGAAUCUUUGAACGCACAUUGCGCCCGCCAGCAUUCUGGCGGGCAUGCCUGUUCGAGCGUCAUUUCAACCCUCGAGCCCCCCCGGGGGCCUCGGUGUUGGGGGACGGCACACCAGCCGCCCCCGAAAUGCAGUGGCGACCCCGCCGCAGCCUCCCCUGCGUAGUAGCACACACCUCGCACCGGAGCGCGGAGGCGGUCACGCCGUAAAACGCCCAACUUUCUUAGAGUUGACCUCGGAUCAGGUAGGAAUACCCGCUGAACUUAAGCAUAUCAAUAAGAGGA
rnacentral:misc_RNA from 1 species